rnacentral:rRNA from 1 species
UACAGAGGUCCCAAGCGUUGUUCGGAUUCACUGGGCGUAAAGGGUGCGUAGGUGGUGAGGUAAGUCGGAUGUGAAAGCUCCGAGCUCAACUCGGAAAUGGCAUUGGAAACUACCUUGCUAGAGGGUUUGAGGGGGGAUUGGAAUACUUGGUGUAGCAGUGAAAUGCGUAGAUAUCAAGUGGAACACCAGUGGCGAAGGCGAGUCCCUGGAAAACUCCUGACACUGAGGCACGAAAGCUAGGGGAGCAAACAGG